GUCGGGAUGGCCGAGCGGUCUAAGGCUCUGCGUUCAGGUCGCAGUCUCCUGGAGCGUUGGUUCGAAUCCCACUUCUGACA
rnacentral:tRNA from 1 species